UUUUUUUUUCUUACCCAUUUUAAACUACUUAUAGGUUACUACGAUAUGUUAAUCAUAAUAUUGUAAAUUAUUAUUUCUUUAAUCUUAAGUUUUUUAAUUUAAAAAAAAAAAUCAUGUUAGAUCUUAUACAAUGUUAUCCACUGAAUAAAUCGCUUAUGUCAUAUCAUCUUUGUAUCUUUAUCAUCCUCCUAAGUCAACAUGGUUUUAGUUAGUUUUCCGAAAUUAUACUGAGCAAGUUUAAUCAAUAAAUUCUAAUAAAGUUUUAAAUAGUUUUGAAGAUCUAUCGGUAUACGAAUCGUCAGAAAAAUGUCCAGUUUUUCUUUUGUUUAG